AUGGACAAGACCCUGAUGCUGGGAAAGAUUGAGGGCAGGAGAAGGGGGAGACAGGGGAUGAGAUGGGUGGGUGGCAUCACCGACUCGAUGGACAUGAGUUUGAGCAAGCUCCGGGAGUUGGUGAUGGACAGGGAAGCCUGGCGUGCUGCGGUCCAUGGGGUCGCAAAGAGUUGGACACGACUGAGCCACUGGACAGCAAGCAGUCUUUAUGGGGUGACUGUUGGGUCCGGCUUUGGUGCCAGCCAGGCGGAUGCCUGCUGGACCCCAAGGUCCACGCUGCGAAUGGCUGUCACAUCCCUCUUCUCUCCUGCAGGAGGCGGCGGUGGCGGGUUCCAGCCGGGGCACGACGGCUACGGAGGCGGCGGUGGCGGGUUCCAGCCGGGGCACGACGGCUACGGUAACAGGCUCGCUUCAUGCAGCGCUGGGGCCCGUGGGGCUGGCGGGGCUGGGUGGGCUUUGCCGGGGCUCCCAUUAGAGCUUCCUCCUGGGUCUUGGGUGUGGGCUGCUUCACUGCUGACCAUCAGCUUGGUUUCAUCCAGGUUCCAGGGGCUGACCCCACAACCCUCUGUCCAGGAAACAAGACACAGAGCCCCGGGCAACAAGCUCCUUAGCAGAGAACAGCCCAGGAAUUGCGGAUUCUUUAUGUAGAUAGUACAUCAUGCCAAGAAAGAAAGGAAUUUACCCUGGGAUAAAUCCAUUCUUGUCUAUACCGAGCUUUUCUCAAAGCGAGGGGUGGAUCUAGAAGUCUCCAGAGGGUCUCUGGUGCUGUAAAGUGAACUUGGGAGCUAAUUGAGCCCGAAAAGCAAAAGGCACUGGAUCCAUGUUUCUAAACUGAGAUAGAAUCCACAUGAAACAUUGUACAAAGUAGUCACGUGAUACUUUGUCAAUGUAGAUGUUGGUGCUGUUUAGUCGCUAAGUCGUCUCUAACUCUUUGCUGCCCCGUGGACUGUAGCCCUCCAGGCUCCUCUGUCCGUGGGAUUCUCCAGGCAAGAAUACUGCAGUCGGUUGCCAUGCCCUCCUCCAGGGGAAUCUUUCUGACCCAGGGAUCGAACCUGGCUCCUGCAUUGCAGGCGGAUUCUUUACCAUGUUGAGACCCCAGGGAAUCGCUUUUUAAAAAUUACUCCCUGGGGACGUCCCUGGUGGUCCAGUCAUUAGGGCGGUGGGCUCUCACUGGCAGGACCUGAGAUUGGUGCCUGGUCAGGGAAUUAACAUCCUGCAUAUCCUGCAUGCAGCUAAAAACCGGAAAAAAAAAAUUGCCCCCUGGACAUAAGAAGGUGUGGAGAAAGGUCCUUUUAUUGCUCAGUCACUGAGAUGGCUGUUUACUGCCCUUGGGGCAUGCUUCUUGGCCUUGGGGACUGGACUUUUCCCUGGCAGCACCAGGAAGUGGGGUUUUGAGCUCAGGCAAGCCCCCUCUCUCGCAGCUGGGGGUCAGCGUGCCCCUGGCAUUAGCAGACCUGCUGAACUUGCAAGGUGAGCUCAGCCCGACUCGGUGCAGCCAGCGAAUGUCCCGGGGUACGCUUGUCUCUUCCUCUGGCUCGGGGACAAUCCGGGUGGGGCUUUUGCCCGGAUGUCACAGCCUCUGCUUCAGGGUCCUGUCUUUCUUGAAACUUCCUUUGGGGAUGUCUCCGGCAUUUCUGGGCCUUACCUU
ensembl:lncRNA